AAUAGAUACCCGGGUAGUCCACGCCGUAAACGAUGAGUGCUAAGUGUUGGGGGGGUUUCCGCCCCUCAGUGCUGCAGCUAACGCAUUAAGCACUCCGCCUGGGGAGUACGGUCGCAAGACUGAAACUCAAAGGAAUUGACGGGGGGCCCGCACAAGCGGUGGAGCAUGUGGUUUAAUUCGAAGCAACGCGAAGAACCUUACCAGGUCUUGACAUCCCGGUGACCACUAUGGAGACAUAGUUUCCCCUUCGGGGGCAACGGUGACAGGUGGUGCAUGGUUGUCGUCAGCUCGUGUCGUGAGAUGUUGGGUUAAGUCCCGCAACGAGCGCAACCCUUAUUCUUAGUUGCCAUCAUUCAGUUGGGCACUCUAAGGAGACUGCCGGUGAUAAACCGGAGGAAGGUGGGGAUGACGUCAAAUCAUCAUGCCCCUUAUGACCGUGGGCUACACACGUGCUACAAUGGACGGUACAAACGGUUGCCAACCCGCGAGGGGGAGCUAAUCCGAUAAAACCGUUCUCAGUUCGGAUUGUAGGCUGCAACUCGCCUACA
rnacentral:rRNA from 1 species